rnacentral:rRNA from 1 species
GACGAACGCUGGCGGCGCGCUUAACACAUGCAAGUCGAACGGAAAGGCCUGCUUUCCCUUGUGGAUUGCGGGUACUCGAGUGGCGAACGGGUGAGUAACACGUGAGUGAUCUGCCCCCAACUUGGGUAUAAGCCUGGGAAACUGGGUCUAAUUCCCGAUAGGACUGCAGGGUGGUGCCUGUGGUGGAAAACGAUUUUCUAGUGGUUGGGGAUGAGCUCGCGGCCUAUCAGCUUGUUGGUGGGGUAAUGGCCUACCAAGGCGGCGACGGGUAGCCGGCCUGAGAGGGUGGACGGCCACAUUGGGACUGAGAUACGGCCCAGACUCCUACGGGAGGCAGCAGUGGGGAAUAUUGCACAAUGGGCGGAAGCCUGAUGCAGCGACGCCGCGUGGGGGAUGACGGCCUUCGGGUUGUAAACUCCUUUCGACCGCGAGGAAGCCACCUGGUUGGAAGGGUGGUGACGGUAGUGGUAGAAGAAGCACCGGCUAACUACGUGC